AGUCAUGCUGUGUGGUUUUGAGUUCGGUUCCAGUUCUCACCAGCUGUGUGACCUUGAACAAAUUACAUAACUUCUCUAGGUCACAUCCCCCAGCUGAAAAAUGGAAAGCACAUGGUACUAAGUUCUGAGGGUCUUGUGAAGAUUAAAGAGGUCAUUGAGGAGGAUGCAUUCCAAACAGUAUUGAAAUGUUUGCUUCUUCUGAGAAGAGGCAUGAGUGGUGCGAGGAGCUGCUCUAGAUACUGCCUCCAUCUGUGUUGGUGGGAAGAUCCAGGUGAGGUCAGAAGAUGCCUGCUCAGUGGACCUUUGGCCAUCUUCACAACAUCAGAGAGGGCCCCAGGCAGGUGGCCUCUGAACCUACCCCCAGGAAAACGAGUAAGAAGCCUUACUCUGGGCAGUGUUCCCUUCACCAGCUACAGCAGGGACAAAGACGACAGACAGCCUUUAACCACCCCAAGGAUGUGCAGUAAACAAAAUGAUGUAUGGACACAUUCUUAGGAGAAAGGUAAGCUUGAAUUAAGUACUGAGCCCACGUUGUCUUUAGGUACUGUUCCUUGUAUGUAGCUCCCUUACUAAAUAUU
rnacentral:lncRNA from 1 species